rnacentral:lncRNA from 10 species
GGGCCCACCCAGCCAACUACUGGCCCAGACUUGGCCCGCGGAGAGAGCAGACAGGGAACGCCGGGAGCAGGACCGGGCGCGGAGGGCUGGGGCCGGGGACCCGGGGCGGCGGGUCCGAGUGGGAGAAAGGAGCGGCGGAGGGGGCCUAGAGUUACUCGGGCUCCCGGGACUCCCCGAAGGGCAGAAAUAAGUUUCUAAAAAUAGGCAGCGGCCUGCCGGAAGAAGUGAGUGAACGGAAAGGCACAAAGCACACACCCUCCCCGCACCCCUAAGGAGACGCCCGCAGUCCCCACUCACCCGCGCCGAGAGGUCUGGAGGAAGCCGCGCGGCUGGGAAGGAGGCGGUACUGCCGCACUCGGGGACGUAAGGGAGGGAGGAAAAGGGCGGCUGCGGCGGGAAGAGGCUGGGCACACGCGCGGGAGUCGUCGUCGUCGCCGUCGCCGCCGCUACCGCCCCCUCAGCUUCUCUGGGUUCCGCUGCCCCGAGCUGGCGCCGCUCGCGCGCCCCGCCGCACUGACAGCGGCGCGAGCCCCGCAACCGCGAGCCCUGCCCUCGGCCGGCACCACUGAGGCGCGCGGGGGUGGGGGCACCCGGAGCGGCUCCCCGCAGCUCGGCUCCGCCCGCCGCUCCGGCCCUGGUUCCGGGCUCUCCUCCUUCUCUGUCUCCUGGGAAGGACACGGUGACACGAGCACGAGGAGUCUGCAGCCCCGCCCAGAAACAGCCCGGCUUCCCAGGCGCAUGGGCUCUCCCCACCCUCUCAGCCUGGCUUUGGAAAGGUCCAGAGCUUCGGCGGGGACGGGAGGAAGGCGGGGCCAGGGUGGGGCCUGAAAGGGAGGAGGGACUGAGACGCGGCUUGGGGAGGCGGGGCUGGGGCGGGAAGAGGGCAGCUUGCACAGGUUUGGAGCCGAAGUAGGGGCGGAGCUAAGAUGGUGAUGAGGCCCUGGGAAGAGGGUCGCCGGACCAGUGGGGAAGGCCGUGCAGGAGAUGGAGAGCCGGGAACCAGGACAGCGCUUGAAAGGAGAUGCUGCUGUGGGCGGUGCAGGAGGGAUCCGGAAGAGACGAGGCAGGAAGAAACUCCUGGUCCUUUCGCUUUUAAGGAACGUGCCACCUAGACAAGUGUUCCAGCCUCCGGUGAACCAGUCUUCCUAGUGAGAGCACGAGAAGCCCGUUGUCCUUCAUUCCUCAGCUAUGGAUUUCCCUGAAAGUUGAGAACUGACCAUAUUCUCGAUGCCUCCUCCGACCUGUGAUUUCAUGACUCACAUCGCUUCCCCAGAACCUGCUUAACAGACGGGAUUCCUGAGAAUGGAGCAGAGUUUGAAUUCAGAGUCCUGGCUUUGCCAUACCAGCAGUUAUAAUUGUCCUUCUGUUGUUUGAUGACCUCCCUGCCCUGCUUCAAAAGGAAGAGAAAUCAAAGAGUUGACGACCCUGAGCGCAAGGCCUGGGACGUUCUUCCCCAAACUCGCUUUAAUAUCACCUUCUCAAAAGAACUCUUCCCUGAACACCUUGUCUCAAGAUGUUCUCUAGUUUGUCUUCUUGUUCUGUCAUUUAUUUGUCUGUUCAUUGUUUGUGUGUUUUUUGAGGCGGAGUCUAGCUCUGUCGCCUAGGCUGGAGUGCAGUGGCACGAUCUCGGCUCUCUGCAACCUCUGCCUCCUGGGUUCAAAGCGAUUCUUGUACCUCAGCCUCCCAAGUAGCUGGGAUUACAGGCGUGUACCACCAUGCCCGGCUAAUUUUUGUAUUUUCAGUGGAUACGGGGUUUCAUCAUGUUGGCCAAGCUGGGCUCUAACUCCUGACCUCAGGGGAUCUGCAUUUGAGGAUAAACCCUGUCUUGGCUCCUCCCUGACGGGGGUGAGAAGUAGCCCUCCUGGAAUUGCCUCAAAGCCCCCGGUUAUCACCAGUGUUCUCGGUUGCAAAUUACGAAACAUAAAUAAACUCAGACUAACAGAUGCAGCAAAGGAAUUUAUCAGGAAGGAAUGGGGAGCUCCCAGAACUGAUGGGAAGGCUGGAGAACCAGGCUCAGAAAAUGCACUGAAGUGGUGAGCGCAGAGGCUUGAAUGUUGCCAGGACUCUCCUCCCAGUCCUUUAUCUCUUCUCUCUGUAUGCGAGCUUUUCUCCUCAAGGCUAGGCACCUGGCUGCAGCAGCGCUCACCACUCACAACUCUCACCCGUUCCACCGGAGAGAGACUGAGGAUUUCUGCUUCUGGUCUGAAGGACAAAAUUUUAGGGAAAAACUUUGAUUGGUCCAACAUAGAUGGAGAAAUGACAACUGGAGAGGGGAGUUCUACUGGAGAGGGGAGUUCACACAUAUACACUGAAAGCUGCCCAUCAAAAGAGUUGCAGAACCAGGACUACAGCCCUUGCAUCUUGACUGCCAGUACGAUGCAGGUUAAACUCUGUGUUUGAUGCUUGUUGAUGUGGACGUCUGGAACUUGAAUAGAAGACAUUUCUUAUUUCAGAUGCAUCCAUUAGCAGGUCUUAGCCAGGAGCCAGGCCCUUGCAAGUAUAUAUUGCAAGUAAUUGAUGACAUUGGAGCCAGAAAUCGAAUGAACCGGGCCCAGUUCAAUCCACUUACUGGACAAGCUCCUCAAGCACUCUAAGCCCCAAUUUCCUCCUCUGUAAAGUGGGCAUAAAUUACAUUUACCUUGAGGGUUGCUGUGAAGGCU